rnacentral:rRNA from 1 species
ACUCAAAUGAAUAGACGGGACCCCGCACAAGCAGCGGAGCAUGUUGUUUAAUUCGAGGCAACGCGAAGAACCUUACCAGGGCUUGACAUCCUACUAACGAAGCAGAGAUGCAUAAGGUGCCCUUCGGGGAAAGUAGAGACAGGUGGUGCAUGGUUGUCGUCAGCUCGUGUCGUGAGAUGUUGGGUUAAGUCCCGCAACGAGCGCAACCCUUACAUUCAGUUACCAGCGGGUAAAGCCGGGGACUCUGAAUGGACAGCCGGGGCAACCCGGAGGAAGGUGGGGAUGAUGUCAAAUCAUCAUGCUCCUUAUGUCCUGGGCUACAAACGUGCUACAAUGGCCGCAACAAAGGGCAGCGAGCCAGUAAUGGUCAGCGAAACCGGAAAAAGCGGUCUCAGUUCGGAUUGUGGGCUGCAACCCGCCCACAUGAAGUUGGAGUUGCUAGUAAUCGCGAGUCAGCAUAUCGCGGUGAAUACGUUCCCGGGGUUUGCACACACCGCCCGU